rnacentral:lncRNA from 1 species
AAGGGUUAAAUAUUUCACAGUGGUGUUUUUGGCCUUUAAUGUUUGUCCCUUAUAUAUAAUUAACUGUGCAUUUGCAUUCAGAUAUCACAGAUCCAAUUUAUUCGUUUAUAGUGUAUUAAUGUACGUUUUUUGAUCGAGUUAGGCCUGCUAAUUGAUAUUUUAUCGUGUGUUUUCCAUGUUGUGAUGUUAUGCUAUUGUUUCAGAAAAAGGGAGAAGGUUUGGAUCUAUUUAAAACGUUUAAUCCCGCUGCAAAUGUUUGCACCUGUCCUAAGUCAGGAAUUUGAUGUACAGUAGUUGUCGUUUGUUUAUGUAAUUUAUACGUGUUUCUCGUUUCUCGUUGUUUUUUUUUUUUUUUUAUCUUAUAUAGAUAAAACCGUUUGUUUUCCCGUUUGAAUGGUUUUACACUAGUAAUUUUGGGGCCAUUUAUAGGUUGUUGUUCGGUGUGAGCCAAGGCUCCGUGUUGCAGGCCGUACAUUGACCUAUAAUGGUUUACUUUUUUAAAAUUGUUAUUGGGAUGGAGAGUUGUCUCAUUGGCAAUCACACCACAUCUUCCUAUAUCUAUAAACAUUGACAAACAACAACCACUGAAUAUCAUGUUCUUGACUGAGGACAUGUGCAAACAAACGCAGUUUUUUUUAUCUUUAUAUGUAUUUUCUUUUGGGAAAUUAAAU